CUUGGAGGCUGGGCCAAAAAUGCCACCGGAACUGCGGCCCAGCAAAAAGGGAAGUAGGGGAGAGCACGGCACUGUUCAGCCAACACUAAGAGACAGGUACAGCGCACCCUUGUGCCCGGAGGAAGGAUCGAAGCCGUAGAGGCUCCAUGGCUCCGAAGGAAAAAUUAAAAUGGCACCUAACCUGGCAAUCUCUAUGGCGAGCACCUUGAAGACUGAGAUUGUAUUGAUCAUCUCUGACUAACAGGGAAUUUGCCUUGCUAGUUUUAAGAUGGAGUUGAUUUUAAAAUGAUGUCACUCUGGCUCUCGUAGGCUCCUGCUUCCCUAACAAAAAGACCUUCAACAUCAUUAAUUAUCAGAGAAAUGCAAAUCAAAACAAUGAGAUACUACUUCAUACCCCUUAGGAUGGCUAUAAUAUCUUUAAAAGGAAGAUAUCACAUACUGGUGAGGAGGUGGAGAAAUCAAAAGCCUCAUACACUGCUGCUGGGAUGGGUGCAGUCACUUUCAUGGGCGUCCGUGUGAAGAGACCACCAAACAGGCUUUGUGUGAGCA
rnacentral:lncRNA from 1 species